UCAGAACUCCUUAACGGAUACAUCACUCUAUUAACAUCAUCAUCUUCAACCUCCAUUGACGAAUAUCCAAAUUUCCUCCGUACUUCACCUCCAACAGAAUCAAUCUAUCAAAAACAUCGUUGGAUUAAUUCGAUCCGAAUAAAUCAAAGCCCUAAUGAUUGAUCUACCAAUAAACAAGAAAAAUGGUUAGAUAAUUGAUUGAAGGAGAAGUGGCUUGAUGUCUUCUCCUCCUCGAAACGCUAACACCUAAUUGGCGUUGAGAGAGAAUAAUAGAUGGUAAGCUUUCC
rnacentral:lncRNA from 1 species